UUCUACCUACGGGGGGCAGCAGUGAGGAAUAUUGGUCAAUGGGAGAGAUCCUGAACCAGCCAAGCCGCGUGAGGGAAGACGGCCCUAUGGGUUGUAAACCUCUUUUGUCGGAGAACAAAACCCGGGACGUGUCCCGGACUGCGUGUAUCCGAAGAAAAAGCAUCGGCUAACUCCGUGCCAGCAGCCGCGGUAAUACGGAGGAUGCGAGCGUUAUCCGGAUUUACUGGGUGUAAAGGGAGCGUAGACGGUGCAGCAAGUCUGAUGUGAAAGGUCGGGGCCCAACCCCGGGACUGCAUUGGAAACUG
rnacentral:rRNA from 1 species